rnacentral:rRNA from 1 species
GAUGAACGCUAGCGGCAGGCUUAAUACAUGCAAGUCGAGGGGCAGCAUGAGUGUAGCAAUACAUUUGGUGGCGACCGGCAAACGGGUGCGGAACACGUACACAACCUUCCUAUAAGUGGGGAAUAGCCCAGAGAAAUUUGGAUUAAUACCCCGUAACAUAAUGAUGUGGCAUCACAUUAUUAUUAUAGCUUCGGCGCUUAUUGAUGGGUGUGCGGCUGAUUAGAUAGUUGGCGGGGUAACGGCCCACCAAGUCUACGAUCAGUAGCUGAUGUGAAAGAACGAUCAGCCACACGGGCACUGGAGAACGGGCCCGACUCCUACGGGAGGCAGCAGUAAGGAAUAUUGGUCAAUGGACGCAAGUCUGAACCAGCCAUGCCGCGUGAAGGAUUAAGGUCCUCUGGAUUGUAAACUUCUUUUAUCUGGGACGAAAAAAGGCUAUUCUUAGUCACUUGACGGUACCAGAUGAAUAAGCACCGGCUAACUCCGUGCCAGCAGCCGCCGUAAAAC